UGGCGAACGGGUGAGUAACGCGUGAGUAACCUGCCCUGGAGUGGGGGGACAACAGUUGGAAACGACUGCUAAUACCGCAUAAGCCCACGGAUCCGCAUGGAUCUGCGGGAAAAGGAUUUAUUCGCUUCAGGAUGGACUCGCGUCCAAUUAGCUAGUUGGUGAGGUAACGGCCCACCAAGGCGACGAUUGGUAGCCGGACUGAGAGGUUGAACGGCCACAUUGGGACUGAGACACGGCCCAGACUCCUACGGGAGGCAGCAUG
rnacentral:rRNA from 1 species